rnacentral:ncRNA from 1 species
AAAAAUUUUUUUGUCUCCAAAAAAAGUUACCAAAAAAAAAAAACUUUUUUUGUCCCCCAAAAAAAUUACCAAAAAAAAAAUUUUUUUAUUGCUCUCAAAAAAAUUAACAAAAAAACAAAAAAAAAUUUUUGUCUUCAAAAAAUUUACCAAAAAAACAAAAAAAAAUUCCAAAAAAAAGUACGUAUUUCUGCCAUUUAAAAAGAAAUUUUCCAAGUUUUUGUUGAAAAUUAGAGGUUUUUGUCAAUUCGGAGCAUUUGCCAAGAAUGUCUUCAUUAAUCAAGAACGAAAGUCAGAGGUUCGAAGGCGAUUAGAUACCGCCCUAGUUCUGACCGUAAACGAUGCCAUCUCGCGAUUCGGAGGGUUCAUGCCCUACCGAGGAGCUACCCGGAAACGAAAGUCUUUCGGUUCCGGGGGUAGUAUGGUUGCAAAGCUGAAACUUAAAGAAAUUGACGGAAGGGCACCACAAGGCGUGGAGCUUGCGGCUUAAUUUGACUCAACACGGGAAAACUCACCCGGUCCGGACACUAUUAGGACUGACAGAUUGAAAGCUCUUUCUCGAUUUGGUGGUUGGUGGUGCAUGGCCGUUCUUAGUUGGUGGAGUGAUUUGUCUGGUUUAUUCCGAUAACGAGCGAGACUCUAGCCUGCUAAAUAGUCGACGAAUCUUCGGGUUCGUAUAACUUCUUAGAGGGAUAAGCGGUGUUUAGCCGCACGAGAUUGAGCGAUAACAGGUCUGUGAUGCC